rnacentral:misc_RNA from 1 species
GAAAUGCGAUAAGUAAUGUGAAUUGCAGAAUUCAGUGAAUCAUCGAAUCUUUGAACGCACCUUGCGCUCGUUGGUAUUCCUUGGAGCAUGCCUGUUUGAGUAUCAUGAAAUCUUCAAAGUAAAUCUUUUGUUAACUCAAUUGGUUUCUACUUUGGUAUUGGAGGUCUUUGCAGCUUCACACCUGCUCCUCUUUGUUCAUUAGCUGGAUCUCAGUGUUAUGCUUGGUUCCACUCGGCGUGAUAAGUUAUCUAUCGCUGAGGACACUGUAAAAGGUGGCCAAGGUAAAUGCAGAUGAACCGCUUCUAAUAGUCCAUUGACUUGGACAAUACUUUUAUGAUCUGAUCUCAAAUCAGGUAGGACUACCCGCUGAACUUAAGC